rnacentral:tRNA from 14 species
UGGCGAGAAUGGACUUCAAAUCCAUCUCUGGUGUGAUAUCCACCCUCCAGUCGGUGUUCAAUUCGCGCCCUCCUC